rnacentral:rRNA from 1 species
UUAACACAUGCAAGUCGAGCGGUAAGGCCUUCGGGGUACACGAGCGGCGAACGGGUGAGUAACACGUGAGCAACCUGCCCCUGACUCCGGGAUAAGCGGUGGAAACGCCGUCUAAUACCGGAUACGACCCGCCACCUCAUGGUGGAGGGUGGAAAGUUUUAUCGGUCAGGGAUGGGCUCGCGGCCUAUCAGCUUGUUGGUGGGGUAAAGGCCUACCAAGGCGAUUACGGGUAGCCGGCCUGAGAGGGCGACCGGCCACACUGGGACUGAGACACGGCCCAGACUCCUGCGGGAGGCAGCAGUGGGGAAUAUUGCACAAUGGGCGAAAGCCUGAUGCAGCGACGCCGCGUGGGGGAUGAAGGCCUUCGGGUUGUAAACCUCUUUUACCACCAACGCAGGCUCCACGUUCUCGUGGGGUUGACGGUAGGUGGGGAAUAAGGACCGGCUAACUACGUGCCAGCAGCCGCGGUAAUACGUAGGGUCCGAGCGUUGUCCGGAAUUAUUGGGCGUAAAGAGCUCGUAGGCGGCAUGUCGCGUCUGCUGUGAAAGACCGGGGCUUAACUCCGGUUCUGCAGUGGAUACGGGCAUGCUAGAGGUAGGUAGGGGAAACUGGAAUUCCUGGUGUAGCGGUGAAAUGCGCAGAUAUCAGGAGGAACACCGGUGGCGAAGGCGGGUUUCUGGGCCUUACCUGACGCUGAGGAGCGAAAGCAUGGGGAGCGAACAGGAUUAGAUACCCUGGUAGUCCAUGCCGUAAACGUUGGGCGCUAGGUGUGGGGACUUUCCACGGUUUCCGCGCCGUAGCUAACGCAUUAAGCGCCCCGCCUGGGGAGUACGGCCGCAAGGCUAAAACUCAAAGGAAUUGACGGGGGCCCGCACAAGCGGCGGAGCAUGUUGCUUAAUUCGACGCAACGCGAAGAACCUUACCAAGGUUUGACAUCACCCGUGGACCUGUAGAGAUACAGGGUCAUUUAGUUGGUGGGUGACAGGUGGUGCAUGGCUGUCGUCAGCUCGUGUCGUGAGAUGUUGGGUUAAGUCCCGCAACGAGCGCAACCCUUGUUCCAUGUUGCCAGCACGUAAUGGUGGGGACUCAUGGGAGACUGCCGGGGUCAACUCGGAGGAAGGUGGGGACGACGUCAAGUCAUCAUGCCCCUUAUGUCUUGGGCUGCAAACAUGCUACAAUGGCCGGUACAAUGGGCGUGCGAUACCGUAAGGUGGAGCGAAUCCCUUAAAGCCGGUCUCAGUUCGGAUUGGGGUCUGCAACUCGACCCCAUGAAGGUGGAGUCGCUAGUAAUCGCGGAUCAGCAACGCCGCGGUGAAUACGUUCCCGGGCUUGUACACACCGCCCGUCACGUCAUGAAAGUCGGCAACACCCGAAACUUGUGGCCUAACCCUUCGGGGAGGGAAUGAGUGAAGGUGGGGCUGGCGAUUGGGACGAAGUCGUAACAA